GUACUCGUUUCGGCGGAACAUGUACUAAAAUUGGAACGAUACAGACAAGUUUAGCAUGGCGCCUGUGUUGGAUGACACGCAGAAUCGUGAAGCUAGCCGGCACGAU